rnacentral:other from 1 species
UGUACCCUGCUGUGUUGGUGAUGCGCCAUUGAAGUUUUGAGCCAACACUUAUGUUUCUCGGGGGCCAUGCUCUUGAAGGGAAUGCAGCAGUCCACGCGACUGCUGAUUCUACAGGUAGGCACCCACCUGCGAAUGCAGGUUCAAAACCAAUCCGCACACGGCACAGCGGGGCUUGU